GCAUUCUGCGAUGACGGCGUAUCACAUUCCCACAGCGUGGGAAAUUUCUCUGCUCUGGGGACGAGGGCGGCAGAGCAGCAGCUCUGUGACGGGCCCGACAGCUUCCAGGCAGGCGAGCUGCCAUGCGAGACGCAGACAGUGUCCACCCACGCGGCCGAAGUGAAAGGGGCGCAGCUGUGAUAGCGAAAGCUGAUGCGCGGUGCAGCUGCAGAGCCGGCCAGGGGAACAAGGUGUCAGCUGACUUCUCUCUAGAGUUCCGAACAAUCGCUGCGGGUCUACAGUGGCCUGGCGACUGCCUCAAGAUCCUGUACGGAAGAACCCUAAAUCCUGAUCUACAAGACAAAUUCACCCCAAGAGGAGGAGGUCAGGCUCUCCGUGACACUGGACAACACCGUGAGAGAACAAAGCCACCAAAGAACCAAACCGGAGAUUCCACCUAGUCGUCCACCCCCCGUUAAGCCUAUGCAACUGGGUCUCCUGCCACUGUCUGCCGUGGGGAGACAGCAUCGGUACCAGCAGUGCCUGUGCCUGUACUGCAGAGAACCCCGGCACGUCAUCCAGAACUGCCCCGUCCGUCCUCCACAACCCAGAGAUUCAACUAAGCUUCCCCCGCACCGCUCCUGUGAUUGCGCCAUUGAUCUCCUUGAGGGGGUGCCACUAAACAAGACCUGGCUGUUUGCCCUGUCCCG